AACCUCCGCAAUGUGAGAAAUCGCGACGGGGGGAUCCCAAGUGCCAUUCUUAACGGGAUGGCUUUUCAUUAGUGUAAAGAGCUUUUGGAAUAAGAGCUGGGCAAGACCGGUGCCAGCCGCCGCGGUAACACCGGCAGCUCUAGUGGUAACAAUUUUUAUUGGGCCUAAAGCGUCCGUAGCCGGUUUAAUAAGUCUCUGGUGAAAUCCUGUAGCUUAACUGUGGGAAUUGCUGGAGAUACUAUUAGACUUGAGACCGGGAGAGGUUAGAGGUACUCCCAGGGUAGAGGUGAAAUUCUGUAAUCCUGGGAGGACCGCCUGUUGCGAAGGCGUCUAACUGGAACGGUUCUGACGGUGAGGGACGAAAGUUAGGGGCGCGAACCGGAUUAGAUACCCGGGUAGUCCUGGCCGUAAACGAUGUGGACUUGGUGUUGGAAUGGCUUUGAGUUGUUCCGGUGCCGAAGGGAAGCUGUUAAGUCCGCCGCCUGGGAGUAACGGUCGCAAGACUGAAACUUAAAGGAAUU
rnacentral:rRNA from 1 species